UACUCCGAGUUGAUUCGGGCUCCGUCCCGAUCCUCCCACCCUUUGUAUACCUACCAGACUUGCUUUGGCGGGCCGCGGUCUUCCGCGGCCGCCCCCCGAUUUUGGGGGGUGGCUAGUGCCGCCAGAGGACUAUCAAACUCCAGUCAGUAAACGUUGCAGUCUGAAAAAAAUAUUAAAUACUAAAACUUUCAACAACGGAUCUCUUGGUUCUGGCAUCGAUGAACAACGCAUGCGAAAGCGUAUAAGUAAUGUGAAUUGCAGAAUUCAGUGAAUCAUCGCAAUCUUUGAACGCACUGCGCCCCUUGGUAUUCCGGGGGGCAUGCCUGUUCGAGCGUCAUUUCAACCCUCAAGCUCGCUUGGUAUUGGGCACCGUCCUUUGCGGGCGCGCCUCAAAGACCUCGGCGGUGGCGUCUCUCAAGCGUAGUAGAAUACACCUCGCUUCGGAGCGUAAGGCGUCGCCCGCCGGACGACCUUCUGAACUUUUCUCAAGGUUGACCUCGGAUCAGGUAGGGAUACCCGCUGAAGCAUAUCA
rnacentral:rRNA from 1 species